UGGUGAUAAGUUUCACGAAUGCUGCUGUAUAGCUGGGGGAGUAUGACUUUUCUUGAAGAGGCCUAUGCUCUGAUGGUACUGAGGAACGGAGCAAUAAGGCCUAGGGGUUCCCAGGAUUUUUGAAAAGUACGUUACUAAACAGUGGAAUUAUCGUGUAGAGUUAGAAGGGAGAGUACUUGAUUCAAAGGUGAACGGACAUUUGCUGUACUGUCUAGGUAAUAAACCAGCUUGCUUAUUUAUAUACCUGCAAUUUGGAAUAAUAAAUUCUGAAUUUCUGUCAGCUGAGACAGUGUUGAACUCUCACGGCGAUAAACUACAUUUGUGGAAGCAAAAUUGUGUAAUCUCUAACACAAGACUGGAACAACAAAAAACAGUGUGCACAUGUGGACAACAGACUUUUUGCAAAGCACUUGAGUGUGUGUUUAAAAGAUUGAAACCAUCGGCAUCAUAGGACUUAAAUAUUGCCAGAAAAACCUGUGAAGAUACUACAGCUGUGUAAUAAGCAUCCAGGGUGCUACAGAACAAAUGAUUUCACAGUCUGAAGACCCAUGACACAAGUUUAUAUUUAAACAGUAUGGGAGUUGCUAGUGAAACCAAGACCUUGUGUCACAGUGUGGUUGAACACAAGAUAGAACAGAAUGUUUUAAAUAAAUAGAGGUUGUCUAACUCACGACAGGGCAAGUUAUAAUCCUUGCUGAAGGCUCACCGCCAUUGUAGACAAUGUAAUCAUUUGGUAUUACUGCAUUAAAAUAAUAUCAGUGCUUUGUGUUAGCAAAGAUUUCCUUUGUCCCUAAAUUACUGCUUGGCUUUCUUUUCUGCUUGAACUUCAUUGCUUCAGAUGUUGUUUAAUUUGCUCAUCCUUUAUAGGAUAAAAUGUAUGUGGGUUUAAAAUGUAGUACUUCUCAUGAACUCUAUGAUACCAGCACCACGGAAAAAAGAUCAUGAUUUUUUUGUUUGUUGUUUUUGGUUUUAAAUUAUCACUUUCUCCAAGUUGCAGCGACCAUGAAGUGAUGAUAAAAAAAAAGUUAAGGAGGUGAGAGAAGUUUCAGAGUCUUUACCCCCUGAAAAAAAAUGUUGCUUGUAAUGUUUGUUGUCUGCAGUUGCACUAGAUGCCCAGAUUGGGAUUUUCUUAUGGAAACAUGUAAUUAUGUAUUACAGACCAUGCUUGCAACUAGUGCAAAGGACUAGAGUUCUCUUUGUUGCCAAAAUAAAAUUUCACAUCUGAUGUUGUCUUUUUCAUUCUUCCUCAACAUAUGGAUUAUGGAUCCGAACUCUGAUCUGACUUUGCCGCAUACACCAGACAGUUGGGAUCCAACUCUCAAGCUCUUCCCUCCCUAUAAUGCCUCAGUCACCCUAAAAUACCUCAGAUCUCAUUUGCCACCAUCUCGCACAGAUGCAGAUUCUCUCUCAAGAGCUUUUUUUGAUUUAAUAGAAUUUUUUUGUAAGUAGCAAGUUUUUUUAAAAAAAAAAAAGAAAAAAAAAACUCUUUAGAACUUCUGUUCUAAUCCUUCUACUGUUCACCCUCUCCUAUGUAUAGAGUUUUUCGAGUUUUCUUCCCAUUAGGUCUUAGCUGCUGUCUUUUGUCUUUUGGCUGUUCUCCUUGCCAUACCAUUGUUGGUACCAGUCUUUCCUUUGCUCCUUUUCUUCUCCCCUUUACAGGGCACUCUAUCAGUGCUGGUAGCUGUGUAGUCUGUAUAUAAAAAAAAAAAAAAAAAAAAGUUGCCUCCUCUUCCUUUUAGUUGUAAUACUUG